UAGCUUCGGGGUCCNGCAUGGGGGGCCGGGAAAGCUUUUGCGGCGUGGGAUGGGGUCGCGUCCUAUCAGCUUGUUGGCGGGGUGAGGGCCCACCAAGGCUUCGACGGGUAGCCGGCCUGAGAGGGCGACCGGCCACAUUGGGACUGAGAUACGGCCCAGACUCCUACGGGAGGCAGCAGUGGGGAAUAUUGCACAAUGGGCGCAAGCCUGAUGCAGCGACGCCGCGUGCGGGAUGGAGGCCUUCGGGUUGUAAACCGCUUUUGUUUGGNAGCCAAGCCCCUUCGGGGUGAGUGUACCUUUCGAAUAAGCACCGGCUAACUACGUGCCAGCAGCCGCGGUAAUACGUAGGGUGCGAGCGUUAUCCGGAUUUAUUGGGCGUAAAGGGCUCGUAGGCGGUUCGUCGCGUCCGGUGUGAAAGUCCAUCGCCUAACGGUGGAUCUGCGCCGGGUACGGGCGGGCUGGAGUGCGGUAGGGGAGACUGGAAUUCCCGGUGUAACGGUGGAAUGUGUAGAUAUCGGGAAGAACACCAAUGGCGAAGGCAGGUCUCUGGGCCGUUACUGACGCUGAGGAGCGAAAGCGUGGGGAGCGAACAGGAUUAGAUACCCUGGUAGUCCACGCCGUAAACGGUGGAUGCUGGAUGUGGGGCCCUUCCACGGGUCCCGUGUCGGAGCCAACGCGUUAAGCAUCCCGCCUGGGGAGUACGGCCGCAAGGCUAAAACUCAAAGAAAUUGACGGGGGCCCGCACAAGCGGCGGAGCAUGCGGAUUAAUUCGAUGCAACGCGAAGAACCUUACCUGGGCUUGACGUGUUCCCGGCGACGGCGGAGACGUCGUUUCCCUUCGGGGCGGGUUCACAGGUGGUGCAUGGUCGUCGUCAGCUCGUGUCGUGAGAUGUUGGUUCAAGUCCCGCAACGAGCGCAACCCUCGCCCCGUGUUGCCAGCGCGUCAUGGCGGGAACUCACGGGGGACCGCCGGGGUUAACCCGGAGGAAGGUGGGGAUGACGUCAGAUCAUCAUGCCCCUUACGUCCAGGGCUUCACGCAUGCUACAAUGGCCGGUACANCGGGAUGCGACAUGGUGACAUGGAGCGUAUCCCUGAAAUCC
rnacentral:rRNA from 1 species